GUCCAGACUCCUACGGGAGGCAGCAGUGAGGAAUAUUGGUCAAUGGGCGGGAGCCUGAACCAGCCAAGUCGCGUGAGGGAAGACGGUCCUACGGAUUGUAAACCUCUUUUGCCGGGGAGCAACGGGGUCCUUGCGAGGACCCGAUGAGAGUACCCGGAGAAAAAGCAUCGGCUAACUCCGUGCCAGCAGCCGCGGUAAUACGGGGGGUGCAAGCGUUGUCCGGAAUCAUUGGGCGUAAAGCGUUCGUAGGCGGUAAAGUAAGUCAGAUGUUAAAGCCCGGGGCUCAACUCCGGUUCGGCAUUUGAUACUACUUGACUAGAAUGCGGUAGAGGUAAAGGGAAUUCCUGGUGUAGCGGUGAAAUGCGUAGAUAUCAGGAGGAACAUCGGUGGCGAAAGCGCUUUACUGGGCCGUUAUUGACGCUAAGGAACGAAAGCCAGGGUAGCAAACGGGAUUAGAUACCCCCGUAC
rnacentral:rRNA from 1 species